CAGUCGCCGCGGUAAAACGAAGGGUGCAAGCGUUACUCGGAAUUACUGGGCGUAAAGCGUGCGUAGGUGGUGGUUUAAGUCCGUUGUGAAAGCCCUGGGCUCAACCUGGGAAUUGCAGUGGAUACUGGGUCACUAGAGUGUGGUAGAGGAUAGCGGAAUUUCCGGUGUAGCAGUGAAAUGCGUAGAGAUCGGAAGGAACAUCUGUGGCGAAGGCGACUAUCUGGGCCAACACUGACACUGAGGCACGAAAGCGUGGGGAGCAAACAGGAUUAGAUACCCCUGUAGUCCCUGUCUCUUAUAU
rnacentral:rRNA from 1 species